UCCCCAUUGCGACAGGCCUCCAGCAGUUCCCGAAGGGCCCCGCUCACUGCUGGGACCCCUGUCCCAGGUCCUGCUGCCCCAGGCCCCAGUGGUGCUGUGCUGCUAACUCCGGCCGCCUCGGGGCUCUCCGCCAAGCUCGAUCCAGGGGAGGAUGGAGAGGAAGAUGAGGAAGAAGUCGGGGAAGAAGAGGACGACGGUGAAUUGUUACUGCCACUGCCGGCUGGGUUGGGAGCGACCCCAACGGCAGAUGAAGUAGAAACCGCUGGGACCACGGGAGCGGCGGUGACGGUACAGAUUGUGCUGGUGGUACUGCAACAGCUAGUACCGUCAACUGGGUCCGGGGAUCGGGGCCUGUCGGGCGGAUCCCGACUGCCAUCCCCCUCCGGCAGCGCUAGGCCGUGCCGCGGGGAGGCGAAGGGGGCCAGGCCGCUGGCCGUGGGAGAGGCUGGGGUGGUCCCCGGGGCCAGGCCAGGGCUGAGUGGGGGAGGAGGUGGCGGCGGCGGCGCUGAAGCCCCUGGGGCGGGCUGGAGCUGUUGUUGAUGAUGGUGGUGAUGAUGCUGAGAGCGACGCGACGCCGCCAUCUUCGGACUCCCCUAGCACUGUCACUGCGGCAACGGCCCCCACCGCCCGCUCUCACUUCCGACCGUCGGACCAAUCAGCAUCCAGCGCACAGGAAAUGAUGCUAGGCGGGGUAGGAGGGGCCAAAGAGAAGGAGGGAAGUAUUGGGAGCUCAGAGAACAGCCAAAGGAACGGGGCGGGGCUUUGUCACUGAGAGGCGGGCUUUGUGACGUGGUGGCGGGCCGGCUGCAGAGAUUUGAAUGCUGGAACCAGCUUCUACCUAGAUGGGGAACAUUUCCUGCAUUUCUCACUUUCAGUCGGCUUUCCUGGCCCUGCUCCGGUCUGUUUCCCUUAGUCUCCCUUUGCUUGCUCCAGAGCCAGCUGUUGAGAUGCAGCUCAGAGCAAGCAGGGAAUGUGUCCAUUAUCAUCUAUUAAGCGUCCUUGUCUGAAAAAUGGAAUUUAAGAGUACCAACCUCACAGAAUUAUUAGCGGGAUUAAAAGAGCUAACAGACAAAGCGCUCUGCCAGUAAAACACAACUAUAAUUAGCCCGUUGGUAAUUUUUUAAAUUAUAGUAUUUCUUUUCCAGGUGUCCCCUUGAGCUCUUGUCCCUUCCCUAUAAUUUUUCUCACCCUAUGUGCUUUAAUUCCUCGUUUUUAAAUGCUGGUUCAGAUUGCUAGGAUUGGCAUUCCAGCUCUGCCAUUUGUUGUGUAUAUAUGAACUAGCUAUUUCAUCACUCUAUGCUUGUUUUUCUCUGUAAAAUUGAAAUAACAAUAGUGCAAUAAGUGUGAAUUAUUAAAAUUAUGAUUUUUUUUUCCUAUU
rnacentral:antisense_RNA from 1 species